rnacentral:rRNA from 1 species
UACGUAGGGGGCAAGCGUUGUCCGGAUUUACUGGGCGUAAAGAGCGCGUAGGCGGAAGCUUAAGUGUGGCCUGAAAGCCCCCGGCUCAACCGGGGAAGGUGGCUGCAAACUGGGCUUCCUGAGGGGGAUAGGGGAAAGUGGAAUUCCGGGUGUAGCGGUGAAAUGCGUAGAGAUCCGGAGGAACACCAGUGGCGAAGGCGGCUUCCUGGGUCCGCCCUGACGCUGAGGCGCGAAAGCGUGGGGAGCGAACGGG